ACGAACGCUGGCGGCGUGCUUCACACAUGCAAGUCGAACGGAAAGGCCCCUUUGGGGGUCCUCGAGUGGCGAACGGGUGAGUAACACGUGAGUAACCUGCCCUUGACUUCGGGAUAACUUCAGGAAACUGGGGCUAAUACCGGAUAGGAAUCCUUGCUGCAUGGUGGGGGUUGGAAAGCUUCGGCGGUUUUGGAUGGACUCGCGGCUUAUCAGCUUGUUGGUGGGGUAGUGGCUUACCAAGGCUUUGACGGGUAGCCGGCCUGAGAGGGCGACCGGCCACAUUGGGACUGAGAUACGGCCCAGACGCCUACGGGAGGCAGCAGGGGGGAAUAUUGCACAAUGGGCGGAAGCCUGAUGCAGCAACGCCGCGUGCGGGAUGACGGCCUUCGGGUUGUAAACCGCUUUCAGCAGGGGCGAAGCUUGUGGUGACGGUACCUGCAGAAGAAGCACCGGCUAACUACGUG
rnacentral:rRNA from 1 species